AUGCCCAGCGCGCCACCCGUCUCCUCCGCCGUCUCCAAGCUCCACUCGCGAUGCCACUCCCUCUCCACCAUGAAGCAGCUGCAUGCCCACCUCCUCCUCCACCACCACCCCUUCCCGUACAACCACUUCCUCUCCAAGCUCCUAUCCAUCUCCUCCUCCUCCGCCACCACCACCGCCGCCGCCGCCGACUACGCGCUCCUCCUGCUCGCCUCGCACCCGGCCCCCACCGCAUUCUCCUUCAACGUCGCCCUCCGCUUCUUCGCCGCCUCCCGCCCGCGCGUCUCCCUCCAGCUCUCCCUCCGCAUGCUCCGCUCCGCGCUCCGCCCUGACGCCUACACGCUCCCUUUCCUCCUCCUCGCCGCCGCCCGGUGCCCCGCGCCGGCCUUCGCCGUCUCGGCGCACGCGCUCCUGCAGAAGCUCGGGCUGCAGGACCACGACCACACCGUCCACUCCCUCAUCACCAUGUACUCCAACCUCGGCCGCCCCCGCGCCGCCCGCAGGGUGUUCGACGGAAUCCUCCGGCGGGACGUCGUGUCCUGGAACUCCAUGAUAAAGGCGUAUCAGGCGGCGGGGAUGAAGGACGAUGCGGCGCGCAUGUUCCGCGCGAUGGUCGCCGAGGGCGCGGUGCCGCCCAACGCGGUGACCGUGGCGGUCGUGCUCGCGGCGUGCAGGGACGCCGGAGACCUGGUGCUUGGUAGGUGGUUGGAGGAGUGGGUGAGAUCCGCGGGGAUGGAGGUGGGAUCGCUCGUCGGCUCGGCUCUCGUUGGGAUGUACGAGAAGUGUGGGGAGAUGGCGGAGGCGAGGAGAGUGUUCGACGCCAUCGCUGACAAGGAUAAUGUCGCUUGGAAUGCCUUGAUCACUGGGUACGCUCAGAACGGCAUGUCAAAGGAAGCCAUUUCCUUAUUUCACAGCAUGCGGCAAGCAGGGGCAUGUCCAGAUAAGAUAACCUUGGUAGGGGUGCUCUCGGCCUGUGCUGCAGUUGGUGCUCUGGAGCUAGGCACUGAACUUGACCGCUAUGCCUCACAAAGAGGCUUCUACAACAAUGUCUACGUUGGGACUGCUUUAGUGGAUAUGUACUCAAAGUGUGGAGACCUUACUAGAGCCAUACAAGUGUUUGAAAAAUUGCCAUGCACGAAUGAAGCUUCAUGGAACGCCUUGAUUUGUGGUCUUGCCUUUAAUGGGCGAGGCCAUGAAGCUAUUCGGCAGUUUGAAUUGAUGAGGAAGCAGGAAGGGCUCCGGCCAGACGAUAUCACUUUCAUAGGAGUACUUUCUGCCUGUGUGCAUGCAGGGUUGCUGAAAGACGGUCGGCGUUGGUUCGAUUCCUUGACAUCUGAGUUCCAAAUCAUUCCCAAGAUCGAGCACUACUCAUGCAUGGUUGAUUUAUUGGCACGUGCCGGACAUUUAGAAGAAGCAUGGGAUUUCAUUGAGAAGAUCCCUGGUAAGGCAGAUGCGGUGAUGUUGGGGGCUUUGCUUGCCGCUUGUCGGAAAUGCAAAAAUGUUGAGGUCAGUGUCAAGGUCAUCAACAGGAUCAUGCUGCUGGAGCCCUCAAACUCGUGGAACUAUGUGGUUUCAUCCAAGAUAUAUGCAAGCUCGGAUAGAUUGGAUGACUCUGCACGGAUGAGAGGGCUGAUGAGGGAGAGAGGUGUCAGCAAAAUUCCAGGUUGCAGCUGGAUUGAAGUUAGCGGCAGAGUUCUUGAAUUCUAUGCAGGGGAUGAACCACAGCACGGUGCGGAGGAUAUGUAUCAACUCCUUGACAUGCUUGUUGAUGAGAUGAGACUGGAGGGAUAUGUUCCAAAUCUUGAUCUGGUUUAA
rnacentral:rRNA from 1 species